rnacentral:rRNA from 1 species
AGAAAAGCAAUUAAGAGCACACAGGGAAUGCCUUGGCUCUCAGAGGCGAUGAAGGACGUGAUAAGCUGCGAUAAGCUGCGGGUAGGUGCAAACAACCUUUGAUCCGCAGAUUUCCGAAUGGGACAACCCGGCUGGCUGAAGGCCAGUCACCGCGCAAGCGGGGCUAACCUGGGGAACUGAAACAUCUAAGUACCCAGAGGAAUAGAAAUCAACCGAGAUUCCCGGAGUAGCGGCGAGCGAAAUGGGAACAGCCCUUAAGUUUAUUGAUUCUUAGAAGAACAUUCUGGAAAGUUUGACCAUAGAAGGUGAUAGUCCUGUAAUUGAAAAGAAUCUAUAAAUGAAAUCGAGUAGGGCGGGACACGUGAAAUCCUGUCUGAAUAUGGGGGGACCAUCCUCCAAGGCUAAAUACUCCUGAGAGACCGAUAGUGAACUAGUACCGUGAGGGAAAGGUGAAAAGUACCCCAAGCAGGGGAGUGAAAUAGUACCUGAAACUGUGUGCUUACAAGCGGUCGGAGCCCUUCGGGGUGACGGCGUGCCUUUUGCAUAAUGAGCCUACGAGUUACUCCUCACUGGCGAGGUUAAGAAAACGGAGCCGUAGCGAAAGCGAGUCUUAAUAGGGCGAAAGUCAGUGGGGGUAGACGCGAAACCCGCGUGAUCUACCCAUGGCCAGGUUGAAGUUUCGGUAACACGAAAUGGAGGACCGAACCAGUACACGUUGAAAAGUGUUUGGAUGAGCUGUGGGUAGGGGUGAAAGGCCAAUCAAACCGGGAAAUAGCUCGUACUCCCCGAAAUGCUUUUAGGAGCAGCGUUGAGUACUAUUAUACGGAGGUAGAGCUACCAAUUGGGCUAGGGGGCUUCACGGCCUACCAAACCCUGAUGAACUCCGAAUGCCGUAUAAUGAAUCUCAGCAGUGAGGCUUUGGGUGCUAAGGUCCAAAGCCGAAAGGGAAACAACCCAGACCAUCAGUUAAGGUCCCUAAAUCUAUACUAAGUUAAAAGAACGAUGUUCGAUUGCUAAGACAGCUAGGAUGUUGGCUUGGAAGCAGCCAUUCAUUUAAAGAGUGCGUAACAGCUCACUAGUCGAGUGAUCGAGCGCGGAAAAUAAUCGGGUAUCAAGUAUAGUACCGAAACUAUGGACUCUACGGAGUGGUAGGGGAGCAUUCCAGUUGCGCAGAAGUUGGAUCGUGAGGUCUGGUGGAGCGGUUGGAAAAGAAAAUGUAGGCAUAAGUAACGAUAAAGUGGGUGAAAGACCCACUCGCCGUAAGACUAAGGGUUCCUGAUCAACGCUAAUCGGAUCAGGGUUAGUCGGGUCCUAAGGCAUACCCGAAAGGGGAAGUCGAUGGAAAACAGGUUAAUAUUCCUGUACCUGCACACACUAAAAAGGGGACGGCGUUAUGUAGCUGCUACGUGGUGACGGAAGUCCACGUUGAGCCGAGCCUUCGGGGGAAGCGAAGUAGUGAGUUAACGUCCAAGAAAAGCCGAAGUGAUGCAGCCCGUACCGUAAACCGACACAGGUAGUCGAGGAGAGAAUCCUAAGGCGCUCGAGUGAUCCGUGGCUAAGGAACUCGGCAAAAUGGUCCAGUAACUUCGGGAGAAUGGACGCCCUCGAGAGAGGGCCGCAGUGAAUAGGCCCAAGCGACUGUUUAUCAAAAACACAGGACUAUGCGAAAUCGAGAGAUGAAGUAUAUGGUCUGACGCCUGCCCGGUGCUGGAAGGUUAAGGAAGGGGGUUAUCUUCGGAGAAGCUCUUAACUGAAGCCCCAGUAAACGGCGGCCGUAACUAUAACGGUCCUAAGGUAGCGAAAUUCCUUGUCGGGUAAGUUCCGACCUGCACGAAUGGCGUAACGAUUUGGGCACUGUCUCGGCCACGAGCUCGGUGAAAUUGUAGUAUCGGUGAAGAUGCCGGUUACCCGCAAUGGGACGGAAAGACCCCGUGAACCUUCACUACAGCUUUGCAUUGAUUUUUAGUAUAUGAUGUGCAGGAUAGGUGGGAGACUUUGAAGCGUGACCGCUAGGUUGCGUGGAGUCAUCCUUGAAAUACCACCCUUUAUAUACUGACAACCUAACCCCGAUGGGGAACAGUGCAUGGUGGGUAGUUUGACUGGGGUGGUCGCCUCCAAAAGAGUAACGGAGGCUUUCAAAGGUACCCUCAGUACGGUUGGUAACCGUACGAAGAGCAUAAUGGUAUAAGGGUGCUUGACUGCAAGACUUACAAGUCGAGCAGGUACGAAAGUAGGACAUAGUGAUCCGGUGGUUCCGCAUGGAAGGGCCAUCGCUCAAAGGAUAAAAGGUACUCCGGGGAUAACAGGCUGAUCUCCCCCAAGAGCUCAUAUCGACGGGGAGGUUUGGCACCUCGAUGUCGGCUCGUCACAUCCUGGGGCUGGAGAAGGUCCCAAGGGUUGGGCUGUUCGCCCAUUAAAGUGGCACGCGAGCUGGGUUCAGAACGUCGCGAGACAGUUCGGUCCCUAUCUAUUGUGGGCGUUGGAGACUUGAGAAGAGCUGUUCCUAGUACGAGAGGACCGGAAUGGACUAACCUCUGGUGUAUCUGUUGUGGCGCCAGCUGCAGCGCAGAGUAGCUAUGUUGGGAAGGGAUAAGUGCUGAAAGCAUCUAAGCACGAAGCCCACUUCAAGAUGAGGUCUCUUAGAGUCGUUCGAGAUGAGGACGUUGAUAGGCGAUAGAUGUAAAGGUGGCAACACCAAAGUCGAGUCGUACUAAUUACUCAAGAGCUUUCGCUU